GACCAUUAGACUCAAACCAAAUAUUUCAAACCAAAAAGUUACAAAAUGCACAACAGAAUUCCAAUUCCAAUCAUUCCAUAGAGGUAACACAAAAUUACACCAUUCAUUACAAUCCCAAUCAAAUCCCAAAAUCACACCCAUCCAAUCUCCUUACAAUAGAUCCCAAAUCCCAUUCAGAUUUAAUGAUGAGAAUUACAAAUUCCACUAUCUAAACCACAUAGUACAAGAUUCAUUACACUAAAGACAUAAUGCCAAACUAUGUACAUGUUUAUUUUAGGCCACAUCACCAUAAAAG
rnacentral:lncRNA from 1 species